AUGUCGGCGUGCGAACACAUCAUUCGGUGUUCUGAUUGUUCAAGAAAAAUCACUCUAGAUCUUCAGAACUCUUUGUCUUAGCCAAGGACUGAAACACAACAUUAGAAAUGAAACAUCAGUGCGCCAAGGAAAACUGUUUUCAUUAUUCAACAUAGUUUCCUUCGACAAUGG